CUAUGGUCAAAUCAUGCUGAACACACUGGUUCUUGUUUGACCCAUGAAGUUAAGCAGAAUGAAGCCUGGUCAGUACUUAAAUUGGUGACUGCUUGGGAACUCCAGGUACUGUAAG